CGCGUAGGCGGCCUUGCAUGUCUUCCGUGAAAUCCCUCGGCUUAACCGAGGACGUGCGGGAGAAACUGCGAGGCUCGAGUCCGGGAGAGGGGGUGGAAUUCCCAGUGUAGCGGUGAAAUGCGUAGAUAUUGGGAGGAACACCGGUGGCGAAGGCGGCCCCCUGGACCGGUACUGACGCUGAGGCGCGAAAGUCGGGGGAGCAAACA
rnacentral:rRNA from 1 species